UACGGAGGGUGCAAGCGUUGUCCGGAUUUAUUGGGCGUAAAGAGCGUGUAGGCGGCCAGGUAGGUCCGCUGUGAAAACUCGAGGCUCAACCUCGAGAUGUCGGCGGAAACCAUCUGGCUAGAGUCCGGAAGAGGAGAGCGGAAUUCCUGGUGUAGCGGUGAAAUGCGCAGAUAUCAGGAAGAACACCCGUGGCGAAGGCGGCUCUCUGGGACGGUACUGACGCUGAGACGCGAAAGCGUGGGGAGCGAACAGG
rnacentral:rRNA from 1 species